UUUACAAAAUUUUUAGUAAAGUAUAUGCCUAUUUCAUGAAUACAUAACUUGAACUAUGAUAGCUUAGAUUCCUACCUAAAAACACAAUAUUGAAAUGCUUUUACCCCCAUAAAUAAUAAGGGUUUUGAGCAAAAUGCACAGGAUCGCAACUGCAGUGGUAUUAUUUUGUUUUUAAUUUUAUUAUAUAGUGGGACAAACGAUUAAUUGUUUUUAGACAAAAAAGAGCACAUUACAUUUUAUGAUGAUCAUAUAUCUGAUAAUUAAAAAAAAAAAAAAAAAAAUCUAAUUUGCUACUGUUAUUCACAUUAAAAAUGUUUGAACACAAGCAUACAAACUAAACAUGUUUUUUAAAGAACAUUUAUGGCAAUCUCUUUGAUUCCUAAUAUUAUAGAUGAGUGUUUCACGUCUGCAAAAAUCCAGUUGUGACCUGCACAUUUCACCUCAUCCAUUGCAGACAAAACCGGUGUUCACUGGGGUUUAUCCUACUUAUCUUAUUGCCUUCUGCAUCUGUCCUCUGCAAGGGCUUUUAUUUAGCCUCAAAUAAGUGUCCCAUAACAUUUGUGAGAGCUUUCCAGUAGUCUGUUAGACACCUUAUUUAUAUAGGUUAGUUAUUUUAGUUAUUUAGCGACGCACCAUAGUAGACGCAUAUUGAACGGGACUAGUGACGUUUGGGAUAUGUUGGGUUAGAGACCGGAAAAUCAGUUAGCGAUAGAACAUUCCAGGGUAACGACGUGUUUAGUGACAGAGACUUCUACUGUGGCCCUUUUAUCAUAAUAAAUACAUGUUGAAUAGUUCAUCAGAGUCGACUACAUCUCUUCACUAGUUAAAAUAGAUGUGCCAGUUCUUGUUUGUGUUGUAGUUCAACUGCACGUAAUACACCCGGACAAUUACACCCAAACGAUUGCAGAGUAAUUGGUUGACUUCAAGACAGCCUGAACUAGCAACAUCACAGUGGCGACCCCGAACCUCGAAGCCGGACCCCUGUUGAAGCCGAACAUCGAACCGAACCUCGAAGCCGGACCCCUGAUGAAGCUGAACAUCGAACCGGACUUCGAAGCAGAACGUUUACUCAGGUGAGGGUCGUGCACUCGAAGAUAUAAGAUUUCAUCGGAGUACGGCUGAACACAGCAGUAUCGCAGAGUGACUUUGUUCUAGAUCUACAUACAGUCAUCGCCUGUUUGAUCGCACGUUCAACGAGCCGUUAACUCAGGGUGACCUUCGUCAGGACCGUAAUCAUCGCAACGCCUGAUCUUCAUAUGCUGAAUCGACCUACAGCCAGAGAAACCGUUCAUUCAUAACGGGUGAGAGAUCGUUAGUGAACCUGUUGGACAUAUUUUUUCUUCGUCAUAGGAGCCACAUUGAGUAUCAAGUUUUACCUCGUCAGUUUCGAGAAGGACAGUUUACCCGCUGUCAGAAGUAUUGUGAGUACUACAAGUUUGGUAGCUAACUAAAUCGAAAUCGCUCUGUCGUCUUACCCUUGGAGAGAUUCUUGUGGAGCAGUUUGCUCAUUGAACCGGUUGCUUGCCACGUUUAUAACGGUCACUGUGUUUAACCUUUGGAAGGUUAGUGAAGUAAUCUUUAUCAGUACUGAACAUUGAUAUAUCUAGUAUUCGUCGGUCUAGACCAUAUCUAGACUUGUUGAUAUUGCAGUUGUGGAAACAGCUACAUCCACUUAAUCUCGUUGAAAACCGUUAGUCGUAUAACGGAACGUCGUCGGAGGUGACCUUGGUCUCACCUAGUCUACAUUGGACAGUUUGGUCUAGUGAAGCAGAGUACAACAGCAAACUUCGUCGUACUACCAGAGUAGCAGCAGAAGCAGUGAACUAUUUUAGAGAACCGUUAUUCGUCAGCCCAGAUCAAGUCAUCGUCAAGAAAGCCGUUAUUCGUCAGCCCAGAUCAAGUCAUCGUCAAGAAAUUCGUUAUUCGUCAGUCGUCCAGAUCAAGUUGUCGUCAAGAGACUGUUAUUUGUCAGUAGUCGUCUACACAAGUCAAGUCAUCGCCAGAAGAACCGUUAACCUAUUCGUCAGUAACUGUGUACACAAGGUCGUCGGAACUACACAUACGGUCAUCAACAGUCGUCGAAGAAACUGGAACAUUUUGCUGUGGCAUAUCAGGACAUCUGUGGCAUUACGUGGGAUACUGGUAGCACCGGAGAACAGAGUCAGAACUGGAAGAGAGGCAGUGGAAUUUGUUGUGAUCUAACAUAUUCGGGAGUCCGAACAAAGGGAUCUUUCUUAUCAAAAGCUAAGUGCCAUUUUUCUUAUUAGUAUAUGUUUAGAUUGCCCUUAGAAAUAGAUUUUGUCUAAAUUUGGUACGUUAGCCUGAGUAAAAUCAGGUGGUGCGCCUUAAAACCCGUCGGGGUAGAAGACGUAAUUUAGAUGAAAAGCUAUAUUAUACGUUUAGGGUUGUAAUUUGUUUUGUUUGUGCAAACGUCAUAUCCGUUGUUGCCUGGUUACUUCGUGACGUUAUCAUUGUGUGCCAUAUUGUCACAUCCCAACCCAUAGUGAUAGUCUCAUUUAAUUAUUUCAUUUGUUUAUAUUAUUUUAAAUUAUUUAUUUUUAUUAAUUUAAUUAGAUCUGUAUUUUUUUUUCACUUAAUGAUAGAAAGUGCGGGUAGGAUUCUUUUACUGUGAAUCAGACUAAAAUAAUUUUAGUUUGAGCGGUUAAAAUCAAAUAUGAUUUUGCCAUGAGAAUAAUGCCGAAACUGGCUAUGUAGUCAAACACUGUCGUCUGGCUAAAUUUAGAUCUGCAAAUUGUUGUACAUCUCUUUGGUACAAUUUAAUUAUCUAGACUCUACUUUGAAAUAUUAUUAAGUUGAAGAUGAAUGAAGAUUACUGCCAGUGAAGAACAUUUGAGAUGUAUAGGACGUGCCCAUAAGAUGCCACAUUUUCCUCCAUGAUGAACUAUGUACCAAUGAAGAUGAUUCUGGAAUGUUAUGAACUGUUAUGAACAUUGACAUGAAUAUGAGGAACUGUCAAGAUGAAGAUGUCAAGAUGAAGAGAUCAAGAUUUUAUGUUUGUGGUCUUCCCCUUAAAUUGAAAAUGCCCUUGUAAGACUUGACAGUAGUGGAAAAAUAUUGACAUAUUUUUUUUUCAAGGGGGGGAGGAAUCUGUUAGACACCUUAUUUAUAUAGGUUAGUUAUUUUAGUUAUUUAGCGACGCACCAUAGUAGACGCAUAUUGAACGGGACUAGUGACGUUUGGGAUAUGUUGGGUUAGAGACCGGAAAAUCAGUUAGCGAUAGAACAUUCCAGGGUAACGACGUGUUUAGUGACAGAGACUUCUACUGUGGCCCUUUUAUCAUAAUAAAUACAUGUUGAAUAGUU